rnacentral:lncRNA from 1 species
CUACUCGAGGCAUCAUCUUGCGGUAAUAAGAAUCUCACCUUGCGAUAUCGUCUCUCGUCUUCCCGAGUCUCCUGUCUUGUGCUCGAUCCAUCUCCAAUUGGAGCUCCACCUCGCUCUGAGCUCCACCUGGCUCCCGAAGCUCCACCUCUCACUAGGCUUCCUAUCAGGUAAUAAUAUCUUCUGCUCCCCUUCUUCCCCUCUAGCACAAUCCUAUCAUCGCGAAGCACCUUCAGGAUUCCUCCACCAGCUACCGUCUUGUAGCCUUUCGAAUCCAGUCUGCUAAGUGAGAUAAGACUCUGCUUG